rnacentral:rRNA from 1 species
AAAGAACCCAACAGGGAUUGCCUCAGUAACGGCGAGUGAAGCGGCAACAGCUCAAAUUUGAAAUCUGGCUCCCCUGGGGGCCCGAGUUGUAAUUUGUAGAGGAUGCUUCGGCGUGGGCCCCGGUCUAAGUUCCUUGGAACAGGACGUCACAGAGGGUGAGAAUCCCGUACGUGGCCGUGGGUGCUCGCCAUGUGAAGCUCCUUCGACGAGUCGAGUUGUUUGGGAAUGCAGCUCUAAAUGGGAGGUAAAUUUCUUCUAAAGCUAAAUACUGGCCAGAGACCGAUAGCGCACAAGUAGAGUGAUCGAAAGAUGAAAAGCACUUUGGAAAGAGAGUCAAAAAGUACGUGAAAUUGUUGAAAGGGAAGCGCUUGCAACCAGACCUGCCUGCGGUUGCUCAUCCGGGCUCCUGCCCGGUGCACUCUUCCGCAGUCAGGCCAGCAUCAGCUCUGGCGGUCGGAUAAAGGCGGCGGGAAUGUGGCUCCCCUCGGGGAGUGUUAUAGCCCGCCGUGCAAUGCGGCCAGCCGGGACUGAGGUCCGCGCUUCGGCUAGGAUGCUGGCGUAAUGGUUGUAAGCGGCCCGUCUUGAAACACGGACCAAGGAGUCUAACAUCUGUGCGAGUGUUUGGGUGUCAAGCCCAGGCGCGUAAUGAAAGUGAACGGAGGCGGGAACCUUCGGGUGCACCGUCGACCGAUCCUGAUGUCUUCGGAUGGAUUUGAGUAAGAGCAUAGCUGUUGGGACCCGAAAGAUGGUGAACUAUGCCUGAAUAGGGUGAAGCCAGAGGAAACUCUGGUGGAGGCUCGCAGCGGUUCUGACGUGCAAAUCGAUCGUCAAAUUUGGGCAUA